CAGAUGUCUGCCAAAGAGUGGGGAAGAGAAGGGACCAGCACAGGGCCCCCCUCCAUCCCCUACCUAUUAGUGAAGAUCCGUUAUGUCCGUUACAUUAUAGUUGCGCAGGCACUUUGGUGACCCUAGAGAACCUCUGGCCCAUCGCACGUCCCGUGCCGGUGACAAAACAUUCGGAUGUCUGCCCUAUCAAUUUUUGAUGGACUUUCUGCGUCUACCAUGGUGACUACGGGUAACGAAGAAUCAGGGUUCGAUUCUGGAGAGGGAGCCUGAAAAACGGCUACCACAUCCAAGGAAGGCAGCAGACGCGCAAAUUACCCACUCCUGACGCGGGGAGGUAGUGA